GUGCCAGCAGCCGCGGUAAUACGUAGGGGGCGAGCGUUGUCCGGAGUUACUGGGCGUAAAGGGCACGCAGGCGGUGCGGCGCGUUUCGCGUGACAGCGGAGGGCUUAACUCUCCGAGGAUGCGAAAGACGGCGGCACUUGAGGGCCAGAGAGGGACACGGAAUUCCGGGUGGAGUGGUGAAAUGCGUAGAGAUCCGGAGGAACACCGAAGGCGAAGGCAGUGUCCUGGCUGGUGACUGACGCUGAGGUGCGAAAGCUAGGGGAGCGAACGGGAUUAGAUACCCCAGUAGUCC
rnacentral:rRNA from 1 species